ACGUCUCAACUUCCAUUGCUUCUCUAAGAAAAAAGUGUUACAGAAACCCAACCAUCAAUUUUUAUUUGCACCGUCAAUCUUCUUCUUCUUCCUACCCUAUAAACAAUUUUUAACUGAUCUCUUCAUUUCCUCCCAUGCAAUUUUCUUCUUCUUUUCAAUUCAACAUAGAUCCAGUGAUUUGCAAAAGUUUGAGAUUUAAUCACCAAGCCAACGUGCCAAGCAGCUUCCUUUCUCUUCCUCCAGCUCCGUGCUAAUCCGUAAGGAUUCGAUCAGUGCGAAGAAACAAAGCACUGGAUUUGGGAUCAGCAUGUGUGCAAGCUUCUAUGCGCAUCCCCUAAUCAUUCAGUGUCUAACAAAGAGAUCUCGAACUGGAUCCUGUGAGAUUAGUUGAAAUCAAUCAAGUAUUGGAAUCAAUCCAUCAAGCUUUUCACCACCAGGUUCCAUAUCUUUCUCAUUCACGAACUUCCUUUCAAUCUGAACCCAAUUUUUUUUAAUCAUGCUUUCGUUGGAACUGGUUGGUACUAAACAUGUGAGCUGCAGAAACUGGAUAAAGAUUAUUCUGAGUCUCUCAGAUGCUUAGUACAGCUACGUAAUCUUCCCUUCCCCUUCUCCCUAUCUUAUUUUGUUAUAAUUGAUAAGGUAAAAGCUUAAUAAUAUGAUUAUUAAUAUCUUAUAAGUUGCAGGUAUGGGUUCUGUAAAAUCAGUAUAUGAAAUUCAUUGUAUAAAUUCUUUUGAUCCCGUGCAACAGGUCAAGUCAUGGUGGCGGUGGAUUCUGUGGUCCUCCAAUCGUCGGAGUAUACGUCUCCCCCCAUCUUCCCCACUCCGGUAUUUAUGGAAAAAAGGAUCUAAAGACAAAGGACUACAAUGUAAGUUCAGAUUUAUCCAUUGCAGUGAGCUAGAAGAAGCAGAGUUAUCUCUGUGUGAGACAAGUUCCUUGCACUACGAGGAGAGCUCUUUUGGGAAGAAUUGAGACUGAAAGGAAAACAUAGUAUGAAGGCAGGAUUGCUCCUCCUGCGAUGUCUAUUAAUUUGCUGUGUUAUAUUGAUUUUCUAAUAUAUUGUUCUUAAAGUAAAAUCUCUCCAGGGUCUAGAAGGUUCCAAGGUACAAAUAACAAUCUUUUUCUUUUAAUUAUGUACUUCAUCUGUAAGUGUUGAUCAAGAGACAUCCUUCUUGAUUUUAUUUGCUUAAUUAAUAACCAUCUCAAUAUUUUCCCAGAUAUCCAAAGGAACCAGCCAAAAUCAGGCUUGCGAAGCAGACAUGGCUACCGAAAAAAGUUUUGAUUUUGUUUUGUUAAUGAGUUUGGCUAUGGACACCAAUGAUUGAAGCGAUGCAUAAAUGAUAGUCUGGUGAUGCAUUAGAGCUUAAACAAAUUUCAUGAUAUAUUCAACCGCUUUCUGGAACAAUAGACAGACUAGAUCGAUUCUGUCUUCAUGUCCAGACGAUCUCGCCCUCAGUUCAACCUAAUUCGGCGAAAGCAAUUGAGUUUUCCGGAGUUGGGCAGGAAAGUUUGCACAGAGAAGACCAACUUUGAAGGAAGAGAUCCAGAGAAGGACAAUACAGGCCGAGUGCUUGAUCUAACUAAAGGUAAGGACAAAAAAAAAACUCAAAUGAACAUCAUCAUCACCGUCGCCAUCAUUCUGAUACUUCAUUUGAUAUCGUGAGUUCCAUCUUAUUUCUAUUACUAGAUCUCUUGGGUUUUGUCAAAGUAUUUGAUUAAAAGUUAUGGUAUCAACAUUACAGUCUGGAAUAUUUUUAAGUCGAACUAAUUGAUUCUACUAACAAAUCGCAAUGCUGUGAAUGGCUUUAAGCUAUUUAAAAUCAUCUAUCACGGUCCCAACAGCUGUUCUUCUUCUAGGAGGCUGCCUCUUUGCCUGUAAGUUAUUGAUCACAUGAUACACAAGAAUCUAAACUGAAAACCUAUGUUGGCCUACUUCCUUACUAAAUCACCAAAGACGAGAGUUCUUGGCGAUACCAUAGGACUUGGCUCUGCCUUUCUUUUCUCUUUGGUCUUUGGGUUUCGCUUGGCAUCUUCCCGAAAACUGGUCCCAGCAGGCCUCAGCAUGUCGUUCUUUGUAAUGGUGCAUAAGCUCGAUAGUUUAACCUAUGGCUGUAUCCGGCUUUGCUAUGUUGUUGCCUCUGCUAUAGUCUGAUGAGCAUAGCCCUUUAGCCAAAUAGAAAUUCCUAAAAUCAUGUAUCAAACACAAAGUUUUGCUUUUGCCCACACCCCAAUAAGUGGGUAUGCAGAGUAAAUAGUGAUAAUCAAACACAUAUGCAUUUUCUUUACAGCCAAA